AAUCUAAGUCCACUGAGAUCACUCUCAACAUUUCAUCUCACUCCCUCCCAGUGAGUAGAUGGAGCCCAGAAUCCAAUACAGGCUGUACGGCAGGCUUACUUUUCAGCAUCUAAUUUCACAAACCCGAUGCUCAUCACACAAGUCUCCGCAAUUGAUCUCAUUAACGCAUUCAUCUCUCGUUAUACACACAGUUGAUCGAGUCCGCAGCACGAUUCGUGCAAAAGAUAGGCUAUCCAGGACAGAACCAGACGACGUUAGAGAGGGGGGG